CGCCGCGGUCGACGCCUAUGCGCCAGGACUGCGGGGAUAAGCAGGUACUGGGGGUAAGCGUUGAGAAACCUGCAACGGCGGCGAAGCAAGCACCGUGACGUGAAAGGCUUGCGGGU
rnacentral:sRNA from 12 species